rnacentral:rRNA from 1 species
GAUGAACGCUGGCGGCGUGCCUAAUACAUGCAAGUCGAGCGAACAGACGAGGAGCUUGCUCCUCUGACGUUAGCGGCGGACGGGUGAGUAACACGUGGAUAACCUACCUAUAAGACUGGGAUAACUUCGGGAAACCGGAGCUAAUACCGGAUAAUAUAUUGAACCGCAUGGUUCAAUAGUGAAAGACGGUUUUGCUGUCACUUAUAGAUGGAUCCGCGCCGCAUUAGCUAGUUGGUAAGGUAACGGCUUACCAAGGCAACGAUGCGUAGCCGACCUGAGAGGGUGAUCGGCCACACUGGAACUGAGACACGGUCCAGACUCCUACGGGAGGCAGCAGUAGGGAAUCUUCCGCAGUGGGCGAAAGCCUGACGGAGCAACGCCGCGUGAGUGAUGAAGGUCUUCGGAUCGUAAAACUCUGCUAUUAGGGAAGAACAAAUGUGUAAGUAACUAUGCACGUCUUGACGGUACCUAAUCAGAAAGCCACGGCUAACUACGU